CACUCCUGCGGGGGCAGCAGUGGGGAAUAUUGGACAAUGGGCGCAAGCCUGAUCCAGCCAUGCCGCGUGAGUGAUGAAGGCCCUAGGGUUGUAAAGCUCUUUCACCGGUGAAGAUAAUGACGGUAACCGGAGAAGAAGCCCCGGCUAACUUCGUGCCAGCAGCCGCGGUAAUACGAAGGGGGCUAGCGUUGUUCGGAUUUACUGGGCGUAAAGCGCACGUAGGCGGACUAUUAAGUCAGGGGUGAAAUCCCGGGGCUCAACCCCGGAACUGCCUUUGAUACUGGUAGUCUUGAGUUCGAGAGAGGUGAGUGGAAUUCCGAGUGUAGAGGUGAAAUUCGUAGAUAUUCGGAGGAACACCAGUGGCGAAGGCGGCUCACUGGCUCGAUACUGACGCUGAGGUGCGAAAGCGUGGGGAGCAAACAGGAUUAGAUACCCCAGUAGUCCCAUGA
rnacentral:rRNA from 1 species